rnacentral:rRNA from 1 species
GAAUUGCGAUAAGUAAUGUGAAUUGCAGAUUUCCAGUGAAUCAUCGAAUCUUUGAACGCACCUUGCGCUCCUUGGUAUUCCAAGGAGCAUGCCUGUUUGAGUGUCAUUGAAUUCUCUCAACCAUGUCUUGAUUGACUAUGGCUUGGAGGGUGGGGUUUGCUGGGGGUGGGCCAAUAUAAUUUGACUGUCAUCAGCUUCCCUGAAAUGCAUUAGCGAUUGGGUGGCUAGUCUUUCCGACAUGGGGGCACGGCCUUUGACGUGAUAAUGAUCGUCAUGGCUGGACUCAUUGGUAGGAAAGAUAGCCCAAUGCUUCCAAUGAUCAUUGGACCAAUCACUCGUUCCCGAAAUAACCCUCAGAGCUUGGUGGUUAUUAGUUAGUCAUAUAAGGCUGGCGAACACUGCAGAGCAAGGGGUGGUUUUCUUUUUGGACACGUGUGCAUGGUUCUCUUGAAACUGACCUCAAAUCAGG